CCGGGCUAAAGCCCCGACGGGAGGGGAAUGGCUCCGCGGCCCAUCAGGUAGACGGCGGGGUGACGGCCCACCGUGCCGACAACGGGUAGCCGGGUUGAGAGACCGACCGGCCAGAUUGGGACUGAGACACGGCCCAGACUCCUACGGGAGGCAGCAGUGGGGAAUCUUGCGCAAUGGGGGGAACCCUGACGCAGCGACGCCGCGUGCGGGACGGAGGCCUUCGGGUCGUAAACCGCUUUCAGCAGGGAAGAGUCAAGACUGUACCUGCAGAAGAAGCCCCGGCUAACUACGUGCCAGCAGCCGCGGUAAUACGUAGGGGGCGAGCGUUAUCCGGAUUCAUUGGGCGUAAAGCGCGCGUAGGCGGCCCGGCAGGCCGGGGGUCGAAGCGGGGGGCUCAACCCCCCGAAGCCCCCGGAACCUCCGCGGCUUGGGUCCGGUAGGGGAGGGUGGAACACCCGGUGUAGCGGUGGAAUGCGCAGAUAUCGGGUGGAACACCGGUGGCGAAGGCGGCCCUCUGGGCCGAGACCGACGCUGAGGCGCGAAAGCUGGGGGAGCGAACAGGAUUAGAUACCCUGGUAGUCCCAGCCGUAAACGAUGGAAACUAGGUGUGGGGGGGGAGAUCCCCCCGUGCCGCAGCCAACGCAUUAAGCGUCCCUUCUGGGUAGUACGGCCGCUAGGCUAAAAACUCAAUGGAAAUUGACGGGGGCCCGCACAAGCAGCGGAGCAUGUGGUUUAUUUUUGAAGCAACGCGAAGAAGCCUUACCAGGGCUUGUCAUAUGGGUGAAGCGGGGGAGACCGCGUGCCCGAGAGGAGCCCAUACAGGUGGUGCAUGGCUGUCGUCAGCUCGUGUCGUGAGAUGUUGGGUUAAGUCCCGCAACGAGCGCAACCCCCCCCGCGUGUUGCCAUCGGGUGAUGCCGGGAACCCACGCGGGACCGCCGCCGUCAAGGCGGAGGAGGGCGGGGACGACGUCAAGUCAUCAUGCCCCUUAUGCCCUGGGCUGCACACGUGCUACAAUGGCCGGUACAGAGGGAUGCCACCCCGCGAGGGGGAGCGGAUCCCGGAAAGCCGGCCCCAGUUCGGAUUGGGGGCUGCAACCCGCCCCCAUGAAGUCGGAGUUGCUAGUAAUCGCGGAUCAGCAUGCCGCGGUGAAUGCGUUCCCGGGCCUUGCACACACCGCCCGUCA
rnacentral:rRNA from 1 species